GGCACCAACUCAUACUAGUUCUUCCUUUACAGCACCUCACCUCUGUAAAUGUGGGAGAACUCACAAUGGCCUCCAGUUAAAAACAAGUUCAAGUUCUAAAUAAGGUGUUCCUCUGGCCCCGCCCACUGAGGCAAACCAAUGAGAUUGUAUAUAUCUCCAGAGCAGAAAAGUUUGAGGAAGUCAAAUUAAAACCAUGUCAAAGUAGAGGAGAACAUCUGUGCAGCACAGAGGCUGUUUAGUUUAGAAGAACAUUACUCAUCUGCUGUCUGUUUGUCUUCAACAACUCCAAAGACAUGCUGCUUUACCUCUUUUUACUUUGCUCUCACUUUAUAGCCCUGGGCUCCAUGAACAGCAUAAACCCAGAAAGAACUGAAGAAAAAGUUGAAGAGGGAGGAAACAUCAACCUGACCUGUACAUAUGAUGGUCAAAUCCAGAACAUCCAGUGGUACAGAGAAAACCAGAGAUCCAGACCAGAGUUCCUGCUCUACAUCACAGAGGGAGGAUCGAUUCAUCCAACAGAUUCUGAUUUCUCAGCUUACAUUAACAAAACGGAGAAACGAGUAAAUCUGGAGAUCUCCUCUGCUGCACUGACUGACUCUGCUGUGUACUACUGUGCUCUGCAGCCCACAGUGACAGGAAACACCACAACUCUGUACAAAAACCUCUGGAGAGAAGACAACACAAUACUCCACAACAUCCACUAGAGGGAGUCACACACUGAUAAACUUCUAUG